UAAGCGGAGGAAAAGAAACUAACAAGGAUUCCCCUAGUAACGGCGAGUGAAGCGGGAAGAGCUCAAAUUUGAAAUCUGGUGGCCUCAGGCUAUCCGAGUUGUAAUCUAUAGAAACAUUUUCCGCGUUGGCCCAUGUACAAGUCUCUUGGAAUAGAGCGUCAUAGAGGGUGAGAAUCCCGUCCUUGACAUGGACUACCAGUGCUUUGUGAUAUGUUUUCAACGAGUCGAGUUGUUUGGGAAUGCAGCUCAAAAUGGGUGGUAAAUUCCAUCUAAAGCUAAAUAUUGGCGAGAGACCGAUAGCGAACAAGUACCGUGAGGGAAAGAUGAAAAGCACUUUGGAAAGAGAGUUAAACAGUAUGUGAAAUUGUUGAAAGGGAAACGAUUGAAGUCAGUCGUGUCUAUUGGACUCAGCCGGUUCUGCCGGUGUACUUCCUUUAGAUGGGGUCAACAUCAGUUUUGAUCGCUGGAAAAGGGCAGGAGGAAUGUAGCACUCUCGGGUGAACUUAUAGCCUUCUGUCGCAUACAGUGGUUGGGACUGAGGAACGCAGCUUGCCUUUAUGGCCGGGAUUUAUCCACGUACAAGCUUAGGAUGUUGACAUAAUGGCUUUAAACGACCCGUCUUGAAACACGGACC
rnacentral:rRNA from 1 species